rnacentral:rRNA from 1 species
CAAAGGAGCAAUCCGCUGGAAGAUGGGCUCGCGGCCGAUUAGCUAGUUGGUGGGGCAACGGCCCACCAAGGCGACGAUCGGUAGCCGGACUGAGAGGUUGAUCGGCCACAUUGGGACUGAGACACGGCCCAGACUCCUACGGGAGGCAGCAGUGGGGGAUAUUGCACAAUGGAGGAAACUCUGAUGCAGCGACGCCGCGUGAGGGAAGACGGUCUUCGGAUUGUAAACCUCUGUCUUUGGGGAAGAAAAUGACGGUACCCAAAGAGGAAGCUCCGGCUAACUACGUGCCAGCAGCCGCGGUAAUACGUAGGGAGCGAGCGUUGUCCGGAAUUACUGGGUGUAAAGGGAGCGUAGGCGGGCGAGAAAGUUGAAUGUUAAAUCUACCGGCUUAACUGGUAGCUGCGUUCAAAACUUCUUGUCUUGAGUGAAGUAGAGGCAGGCGGAAUUCCUAGUGUAGCGGUGAAAUGCGUAGAUAUUAGGAGGAACACCAGUGGCGAAGGCGGCCUGCUGGGCUUUAACUGACGCUGAGGCUCGAAAGCGUGGGGAGCGAACAGGAUUAGAUACCCUGGUAGUCCACGCUGUAAACGAUGAUUACUAGGUGUGGGGGGACUGACCCCUUCC